AGGGCGCUUCGCACUUGCUCAGCUUUGGAAACUUGGGGUGCAGCCCCCCUUUCCACCUUCAUCCCCUUGAGGAUGUCACUGAAACAGGGAUGGAAAUCAGAUGACGAUCAAAAGGUGAGGAGCAGGCCUGACACGUACCGACUGAUUGAGUGCUGGCUUCCUGCUUCUCCUGGCGGCCCUGCUCUCGUUUAUUCGAGGGCUGUGCCAGAUCGAUAGAGGUUUUGUUCGCUAUAUUGUUAGACAUCAUUUGAUCUAACAAGAAGUUGAGCUUUCGUACAGCGUCAGAGUUAGGUGCUUUUUUCUUCAAUUCGUCAUCACUAUCAGAGCUGCUGCUGCUGCUGUUUGAAGAAGGCUGGUUAGUGCUUUUCUGGCAAGUGAUUGAUUUGACGAUGCUGCCACAGUCCAGGAGCUUCUUGCUUGCAUUAGGUAAGUUUUUCCUGCAAAUGGCCUUCUUAGGUACAUAAGUAUGUUGCGUCACUCAGGGUACCUUAAGAUUAGCUUCGUUAAACUCAUUUCUGUAGUUCGCGGACGUUUUCUGCAGAACUUCGUUCUAUCCUCCCGGAAAUUUUGAGGUUAUAGCCAUAGAACAAGGCUUAUAUAGAAACGACUCUUCCUCUUGUAGAAAGUGUGUCGCUAAAGUGGCGCGCCCUGGUGGCUGAGAAUUAAAGAAUUCAAACAAACCUACAUUAUGAACCCACUACACUUGGUUAUUUUUAAUUGUGCCGCAAGGGGCAGCUGAUAAUAGGGAUAAAUGACACAAUUACACAAAAAUACAUAUAAAUAUAUUACUUGUUGUUUAUUGUUUAUAUAAAUACCUUUUACAGAUAAAAAAAUCUUUGGAGCAUUUUUAGGAACAACUUUAAAACAUACGCCUUUUGUGAUAGGAAGCCGUGCAUUUUCCAACAGCCUUCAAGACACCAAUAAAGAGCUACCAUCUUCGCAGAUUAUUGACGAUUUAUGAAAACAGAUAAGGAAAAAGAUAAUCUGAAAAUAUGAAAAUAUCAUUAUUCAUUUACGCAUAAUGUAGAUAGUGAAAUCGGUUUACCGCUGCAUGUGAAAAGCGAAUUGCUUCAUUCGAUUGGAGUAACCAGCAGGAACAAAAUGACCCCAACGAAACAACUUCUAUUUCACAAGCUAUGCAGCAUGAGGAGGACAUUGAAACGUUAUGAGCAUAAUAGGAAGAGUUGCAGGAGAGACGUAUUCGGGGUAAAGAAUGUAAGUAAUCUUUUAAGCAAUAAAACUUAGAAUUGUUUAGAAUAUGAUAGAAUACAUAUUUUCCUAUUGCAGCUACGUCAAAAAGCUUUAAUGGAAUUCUUAAACAUUUCAAUAAUUUGUUUCGUAGUUUUCGUAUUAUUAUUUUAUAGAAAGGCAGAUUUUGACAUCAAUAAUUUUGUUUAUUUGUUCCUUUUACAUGCUUUUGAAGUUUUUACUUUUACUUGUUUAUCAUUUAUACGUCUGUUUGUCCUGUUUCUGUUAUAUAUGUUGAUCGUUUAUAUGGUGUACUUUGUUCUUUCCUAUUUCUGUUAUUAUAAAUAUGUUUAUCAUU